UGCCUAAUACAUGCAAGUCGAGCGAAUGGAUUAAGAGCUUGCUCUUAUGAAGUUAGCGGCGGACGGGUGAGUAACACGUGGGUAACCUGCCCAUAAGACUGGGAUAACUCCGGGAAACCGGGGCUAAUACCGGAUAACAUUUUGAACUGCAUGGUUCGAAAUUGAAAGGCGGCUUCGGCUGUCACUUAUGGAUGGACCCGCGUCGCAUUAGCUAGUUGGUGAGGUAACGGCUCACCAAGGCAACGAUGCGUAGCCGACCUGAGAGGGUGAUCGGCCACACUGGGACUGAGACACGGCCCA
rnacentral:rRNA from 1 species